rnacentral:rRNA from 1 species
UGACCGCGUACUUUUUGUAGAACGGGCCAACGAGUUACGUUAAGUAGCAAGGUUAAGCACUUAAGGUGUGGAGCCGUAGCGAAAGCGAGUUUUAACUGAGCGUUCAGUUACUUGACGUAGACCCGAAACCGGGCGACCUACCCAUGAGCAGGAUGAAGCGAAAGUAAAAUUUCGUGGAGGUCCGAACCCACGAGCGUUGAAAAGCUCGGGGAUGACUUGUGGGUAGCGGUGAAAUUCCAAUCGAGCCCGGAGAUAGCUGGUUCUCCCCGAAAUAGCUUUAGGGCUAGCCUCAAGGUGAGAGAUACGGAGGUAGAGCACUG